AUCUUAUUUGAACUCCUGUAUUGUGAUAAAGUUCUUAGUACUAUUUGAAUCGUUAUAGAAGGAUAUAUCGUUUAGUCCUUAAAUUCUAGUUCAUGGACAAAUGAUAUGCUAUUAUUAGGACGAUAGCUAUAUCAAGUAUAGGUCAUUGUGUGCGACCUGCGUUGGUUAUCCUUUUAACCAAGGAGUGUGGAGACACUGGCAUGGCAUACAAGUGAGAUAUAGAAAUAUAUCUCGUUG
rnacentral:lncRNA from 1 species